rnacentral:misc_RNA from 1 species
ACACACCCAGCCACCCACCCCACAUGGGAAAAACUCAGCAUUAGAAAGUAACGAUUGCAAUCUUGUUGCUGAUUUUUGUUGCCAUUGUAAAUUUGAAGGCUAUCUGUGGUCAGACACAGAUUUGUAACAUUGGUUGCUUUGUGUCUUCCUUCAAAUUGUUUAUCUGUUGUGAAUUUUUUGAACAGUUCUGAUUGUAUGUUUAAUUUUAUACCAGGAAUGAAAGUUUAUAUCACUGAUGAGAAGGAGCUG